GAGACAGUUCGGUCCCUAUCUGCCGUGGACGUUUGAGAUUUGAGAGGGGCUGCUCCUAGUACGAGAGGACCGGAGUGGACGAACCUCUGGUGUUCCGGUUGUCACGCCAGUGGCAUUGCCGGGUAGCUAUGUUCGGAAAAGAUAACCGCUGAAAGCAUCUAAGCGGGAAACUUGCCUCAAGAUGAGAUCUCACUGGGAACUUGAUUCCCCUGAAGGGCCGUCGAAGACUACGACGUUGAUAGGCUGGGUGUGUAAGCGUUGUGAGGCGUUGAGCUAACCAGUACUAAUUGCCCGUGAGGCUUGACCAU
rnacentral:rRNA from 1 species